GCCCGCGUGGUGGAAUGGUAGACACAGGGGACUUAAAAUCCCCCGUCCUUGUGGCGUCCGGGUUCAAAUCCCGGCGCGGGCACCA
rnacentral:tRNA from 1 species